GUAUGGCUAUCGAACUGAUCCAAACAAUGCCCAAGUCCUUGCUGCCGGCGCCGCCAGAUCCCCCCUCGUUGCCAGCGCCGUGGAGACCUGCCCAUCUCGCUCGCCAUGGCAACUCCCGCCGGCCUAUCCUCCUCGCUGGCGGCGCUGCCUCAUUCCCCCUCCUGCCGCCUCGAGUGCAGAGACCUGCCCAUCUCGCUAGCACUGGCGCCACCAACUAGCCCAUCCUCCUCGCCGCUGGAGUUGCCCCAUCCAUCUCCAUGGUGAGCUGCCCCGUCCCCCUCCUGCUGCCGGGAGUGCAGGAUCGACGCUACAUCGGAGAGGAACGGCCACACGUUUCCACCGCGGUGCCACCUCCAUAUUCCAGCUGGAAUUGACAAGGUGGAUCGGUGCCAGUCAUCCAUAUUUAGCCUGUUUGGCUUAGUUAAUACUUUUGGCUGGCUCGAGAUUUCUUUGUCCCAAUUUAUAGGUUGUAAUGGUGUACGAGAUCAGAACCUUGGUCGUGGACUACUGAUGGUGCAAUGUCCGACUUCGUUAUGCUGGAUUGAACAUGUUUUCUUAAGACAACUCUGGCUGAAUCUAAGUAGAAGAUGGUUCGUCAACAAUGUUAGCCAUGGAGUCUGUAGUCCACCAAUCUUGUGAUUCGUAUCUCAUGAUCUAGUGACAUUGCCGUUGAGCUUUUGAGUGGAAUCUGUAUAUAGUAGAAAUUCUGGCUUUGCAUUGUUGAGAUAUGUUGUUCUGUCUCUCCUUGGCAUGGCGGCAAAUGCCACACUUGAUACCUCAUAUGGCUGCUAUGUAAGGCUUAUGUUUGGUUUUCUUUAAUGAGAUGGUUAUAUUGAUCACA